AUGAAUGCUCUUAGUUGGAACUGCCGGGGAGGGGGGAACUCUCGGACAGUUCGCGAUCUUGCGACUUUGGUGCAGUCGCAUUCCCCCAAUUUUGUUUUUCUUUCUGAAACUAGACAAACAGUAAGCAGGAUGAGAAGGUUAAGGCGACGUCUUGGUCUACAAGGCUUUGAAGGAGUUGAUAGCAUUGGUAUUAGCGGUGGGCUAGCCUUAUAUUGGCAUGAAUCUUGUGAAGUUACAAUA
rnacentral:rRNA from 1 species